CGCGUUUUUCGCGGCGGAACUCGACCGCCCCACGACGAGAUGAUCCGGUUCAUCGACAUGUUCCGGGAUCGUUUCGGGGUCGAGGCCAUCUGCCGCACCCUGGGUGCGACAGGCAGUGGGUUCCU
rfam:Microbacterium sp. 67-17 scnpilot_p_inoc_scaffold_4413, whole genome shotgun sequence.